UACGGAGGAUCCAAGCGUUAUCCGGAAUCAUUGGGUUUAAAGGGUCCGUAGGCGGUUUGGUAAGUCAGUGGUGAAAGCCCAUCGCUCAACGGUGGAACGGCCAUUGAUACUGCCAGACUUGAAUUAUUAGGAAGUAACUAGAAUAUGUAGUGUAGCGGUGAAAUGCUUAGAGGUUACAUGGAAUACCAAUUGCGAAGGCAGGUUACUACUAAUGGAUUGACGCUGAUGGACGAAAGCGUGGGUAGCGAACAGGA
rnacentral:rRNA from 1 species